CCGUUUAUCAUAAUCUUGACUUUCAACCAGACACACUGUUAACACCCCUGGCGUUACAGGUAGAAUCAUUUUGUGUCUCCAGUAAAGAAUCCGCGGAGCAGUCCUUGUGGGACUGGGGCGCGAAUGCGAUAUGACAAGUGCGAAUACGCCAGGCAGUGCAUCAUCAGUUUUCAAAGGCUUGGAAUUGGCAACGGCGGUAACAGCGACUGUGAGCCACAGAAACAGCAGCAGCAGCAGCAACAGGGUUACAAGUGCACAGGUCUCGCCGUCAGCGGACAACAACGCUACUGUGAUGUCCCCAGCUGCAGCGUUUCAGUCAAAUAAUCAGCGUGCGACAGGCUACAGCAUGGGAAAGAUCGAGACAGAAGAUAAGACCACCCUCUUUCGACCCUGGGACGAGAAGGUCGCAACAAAAGCGACGAUAGCACCGAAGAAAAAUCCCGCUGAACGGCGUCGUCGCAGUUCGAGCAAAGACAGCAAAGAAGUAACCCAGCAGCGCUCCCACAACCACAGCGAUGAAGUACACAGCAUCCUCUACAAGUGGCUUCGCGACAACCUUGUUAAACCCUAUCCAACCAUUGCAGAAAAGAAGCGACUGGCUGCCAAGACAAAGCUCCGAUAUCGACAGGUUUCUUACUGGUA